AACCUACCUUAAACUGGGGGAUAGCCCGGGGAAACUCGGAUUAAUACCCCAUAACACAUUUUGGUCACAUGACUAGAUUGUUAAAGAUUUAUCGGUUUAAGAUGGGCAUGCGUUCGAUUAGGUAGUUGGUGUGGGUAACGGCCCACCAAGCCUUCGAUCAGUAACUGGUGUGAGAGCACGACCAGUCACACGGGCACUGAGACACGGGCCCGACUCCUACGGGAGGCAGCAGUAAGGAAUAUUGGUCAAUGGAGGCAACUCUGAACCAGCCAUGCCGCGUGAAG
rnacentral:rRNA from 1 species